rnacentral:lncRNA from 1 species
AGAGAAACAACAUACAAUCGUUUAAAAAACAGAAGCAGAUGGUAGGGUAGGAAAUGAUGUAGUAGGCAAAUGUUAAUAAAAGCAAGCAGGUGUAACAAGAUUAAUAUCAGAUUCAAAGUACACAAUAAUAGCAGAGCAAAGGUAGAUUAUGUGGAGAAAAAGUAUAGCAUACUAAGAACCCCAAACAAUCAGAAUCUCUUUGCUUAUGUCUGAUAUGGGGCAGCUCAGGACUUCUGGUGCCUGCACUAGACUGGGAUUAGGGGCUUUCUGUCUUCCCUCAUCCGUGCAAAGAAAUUCAGAGAUCCAUCCCCACUCUCUUAAAUUCACUGCAGAUGCGGAGACUUCUUCUGGACCUGGGGUCUCUUACCAAGGCAUGAAAACCUUUGUGAUUUCCUGUACUACACAAAGCCACAGGGAACCGUGGUGUAAGUAUAGGUCCACCUGCCUGCACACCUCUGGUCACUUAAGCAUUAACCCUUGAGUGGCACCAUGUUGCCCCAGU